rnacentral:misc_RNA from 1 species
CCAGAGUUGAAAAACUCCCUAAACCCUUUGUAAACUUACCUGUUCUGUUGCUUCGGCAGGCGGCCCCAGGGCGGGGCCCCCGGCUUGCUUAGGCAGGUGCCUGCCGAUGGCUCAAAACUCUUGAUUUUAAUAUGUUACGCUCUGAGUCCCAAAUAAAAUGAAUCA